rnacentral:rRNA from 1 species
CCUACGGGUGGCAGCAGUCAGGAAUAUUGGGCAAUGGGCGAAAGCCUGACCCAGCAACGCCGCGUGAAGGAUGAAGGCCUUCGGGUCGUAAACUUCUGUCGAGAGGGAAGAAUGUGUACGGGUGAAUAAUCCGUGCAUUUGACGGUACCUCCAAAGGAAGCACCGGCUAACUCCGUGCCAGCAGCCGCGGUAAUACGGAGGGUGCAAGCGUUGUUCGGAUUCAUUGGGCGUAAAGCGAGUGUAGGCGGUUUGACAAGUCGGAUGUGAAAUCCCGG